rnacentral:rRNA from 1 species
AUUGAACGCUGGCGGCGUGCUUAACACAUGCAAGUCGAUCGGUAACAGGUGUAGCAAUACAUGCUGACGAGAGGCGGACGGGUGAGGAACGCUUGGGAAUCUGCCUAUCAGCGGGGGACAACCCGGGGAAACUCGGGCUAAUACCGCAUACGCUCUACGGAGGAAAGCCGGGGACCGCAAGGCCUGGCACUGAUAGAUGAGCCCAAGUCGGAUUAGCUAGUUGGCGGGGUAACGGCCCACCAAGGCGACGAUCCGUAGCUGGUCUGAGAGGACGAUCAGCCACACCGGAACUGAGACACGGUCCGGACUCCUACGGGAGGCAGCAGUGGGGAAUAUUGGACAAUGGGGGAAACCCUGAUCCAGCGACGCCGCGUGGUGAAGAAGGCCUGCGGGUUGUAAAGCCCUUUCGGUAGGGAAGAAACCUCUUGCUCUAACACGGCAGGAGUUUGACUUAACUUACAUAAGAAGCACCGGCUAACUCUGUGCCAGCCGCCGCAGUAAAAC